rnacentral:rRNA from 1 species
AUUGAACGCUGGCGGCAUGCUUUACACAUGCAAGUCGAGCGGCAGCGCGGGCUUCGGCCUGGCGGCGCGUGGCGAACGGGUGAGUAAUGCAUCGGAACGUGCCCAGUAGUGGGGGAUAGCACGGCGAAAGCCGGAUUAAUACCACAUACUACCUGAGGCUGAAAGCGGGGGACCGAAAGGCCUCGCGCUCUUGGAGCGGCCGACGUCGGAUUAGCUAGUUGGUGGGGUAAAGGCUUACCAAGGGGACCAUCCGUAGCUGGUCUGAGAGGACGACCAGCCACACUGGGACUGAGACACGGCCCAGACUCCUGCGGGAGGCAGCAGUGGGGAAUGUUGGACAAUGGGGGGAAACCUGAUCCAGCCAGGCGGCGUGCGGGAAGAAGGCCUUCGGGUUGUAAACCGCGUUUGUGCGGGAAGAAACCCUCUGGGCUAAUACCCCGGGGGGAUGACGGUACCGGAAGAAGAAGCACCGGCUAACUACGUG